UACAGGGGUUUUGUACGUCAAGUUCCUUCACAUUCUGAACAGCUUGAGGUUUGAGUGGCUCAAUUUUGUGUGGUAGUUCCUUUUGAAAUGUUAGAAAUGGGUGAAGUACAUGAGUAUGAGAGCGAGCAAAAGUUUAUCGAUGAUACGAAAGAACACUUCGGUACCUUUCAUCAAAUUGACUCGGAAGAACAGUUCAUUAGAGAAUUUAUACCAUACCAAGACCUCGAUAUGUUGGUGUACAAGCCAUUUAUUGCGAGAAAUGUAGAUGGUGAUCGGCGUGUUGUCAUAAUCUCCUGGAAGAUGGAAGGAGAUGCAGAUAUUGAAGAAGGGCUACAGGAAUAUGCAAGAAACCUUCCUGUAAUAAAAUGGUUCAUCUGUAAAUGGCCAAGGGCUGAAGGUGGUGUGAGAAUUGGCGACCUAAAAUUAAAGAAUACUCAUCAUCGACUUCUUAUGAUUAGGUACAAGUGAGAUGAUACUGAUGGAACGUUUGUAACAUUUGAAACAGCCAUGCCGUGACGUCGUAUGUGGUUGAUUAUUUUGAAAGUCAUUAUAUUGCAGCACUACCGUGAACCCAUGAACUGGACUGUGCUUUUCGCCACAGCUGUGGCGUGAUGUAAUGACUUUUGAUUUUACCAAUAACCGUAUCGUACUGUGUUGAUAUUAUUAGUCUUCGCUGGUUUGAAUGUUGGCGACAAAACACCACAGCUGUGGCGUUUACAAUGAGUUGUAAUUCUGAAAUUCACGAUGAAUUAAAGAACUAUGGAGGAGUCUACUUGCCCUUUUUGUGAUCGACAAUUAGUAGAAGUCGAUAAUAGUAUGAGAGUUGUUGAGUCAUGCUGUAGUGAACAAGAUAUGGAAAAUAAUAAAGGUAUGAAUGUCUGUUUAAACUGUGGUUCAGUCCAUGGUUAUGAGACUCAGUAUGUUAAUGAGUACAUCAAAUUUUAUGAGGAUAUGUACAAAAUACGACGGAAAUCGGUUUAUCAUCGAAAAUAUCAUUUAUGUAACAAAUCGAUUUUCUGAGUAGCAAAAAUGGAGUUCAAAUUUCCUUUAAGGAUAGAGAUAAAAUAAUUCGGGUUUUUGAAGAGAUAGACAAGAUGCUGCCAAAAAUUAAUGGUAAUCUUAAAAAGGAUGGUAAAUAUUAACUUAAUCCUUAAACAAUUGUGAAUGAUGUUAAAUGAACAUACCUUUGUCAAAAUUGACAUAUUAUAAACAAUAUUGGGCGAAAGUACAGUUAUUGAAUCAGGUGAUAAAAUCCAAUCGAUAAUUAAUAAGUGAAUAUAUUGUCAUAUUUUAGUAAAAAUUUAUCGACAACAGGGCCAUUGUCACACAUGUAAUUGUCUAUGUUGUUCAUCGUUAUAUGUAGACAAGAAGGUUUGAAAUCUCCCCCUCUCAUCAUAUCUUUGAUGGCGCUCAACAGAUGUUGAUAUGAUUGAUAGGCAGAUACACAAUUCUGUAUCUAAGGUCGAGGUCUUUAUGUUUCAUCCAACUCUGUAUUAGUACCGAAACAGUGGAAACAGCAAUCAAUGCCACACCGGAUGUUGCUACUGCAGAUGCGAUACCACCCGCAGUGAAGACAAUCGAUAGGGAAUUACCUAGUAAUUUCCAGCUUUUAAGCUUUUUCACAGCCUGUUUGUAUGCCUAACACAUUCUAUGGUAUGUGAGGUAAUAGGCUUUUAAUUCCUUGAU